rnacentral:rRNA from 1 species
AAUGAACGCUGGCGGCGUGCCUAACACAUGCAAGUCGAACGGAUUUUUCAUGAAGCCUAGCGAUUGAAAAGUUAGUGGCGGACGGGUGAGUAACGCGUGGGUAACCUGCCUUGUACUGGGGGACAACAGUUGGAAACGACUGCUAAUACCGCAUAAGCGCACAGCUUCGCAUGAAGCAGUGUGAAAAACUCCGGUGGUACAAGAUGGACCCGCGUCUGAUUAGCUGGUUGGUGAGGUAACGGCCCACCAAGGCAACGAUCAGUAGCCGGCCUGAGAGGUUGAACGGCCACAUUGGGACUGAGACACGGCCCACACUCCUACGGGAGGCAGCAGUGGGGGAUAUUGCACAAUGGGGGAAACCCUGAUGCAGCGACGCCGCGUGGAGGAAGAAGGUUUUCGGAUUGUAAACUCCUGUCGUUAGGGACGAUAAUGACGGUACCUAACAAGAAAGCACCGGCUAACUACGUGCCAGCAGCCGCGGUAAAACGUAGGGUGCAAGCGUUGUCCGGAAUUACUGGGUGUAAAGGGAGCGCAGGCGGGAAGACAAGUUGGAAGUGAAAACCAUGGGCUCAACCCAUGAAUUGCUUUCAAAACUGUUUUUCUUGAGUAGUGCAGAGGUAGAUGGAAUUCCCGGUGUAGCGGUGGAAUGCGUAGAUAUCGGGAGGAACACCAGUGGCGAAGGCGGUCUACUGGGCACCAACUGACGCUGAGGCUCGAAAGCAUGGGUAGCAAACAGGAUUCGAUACCCUGGUAGUCCAUGCCGUAAACAAUGA